rnacentral:rRNA from 1 species
AUGCCCACUGCCGCCUGUGACCACCACAGCGCCGCGUCACGCCGCCGACUCCGAGUCUGCUUCAUCGUCUCCCUCGCCGUACUCCUCCUCCUCGUUGUGGCCGUCGCCGUGCUGGCCAUCACGGCGCUCCGCCCGCACCCGGCCGACACCACCAUCUCUACGAUCCGGCUCACCUCCGUGUCUCUCUCCCCUUCCCGACUCUCCCUCAACGUGACGCUCGACGUCGUCCUCUCCAUCCGCAACCCCAGCCCCGUCGCGUCCUUCACGCAUGACGC